rfam:Brassica oleracea var. oleracea cultivar TO1000 chromosome C8, whole genome shotgun sequence
GGAAGUUAAGAAACUGUUUCUUAACUUUUAACUAAAAAAGCUAAGAACCGGUUCUUAAAGUCCUUAUUUAAGAACCGGUUCUUAGCUUUUUUUAGUUAAGGAAACAGUUUAUUAACUUCC